GAUGAAGAACGCAGCGAAAUGCGAUAAGUAAUGUGAAUUGCAGAAUUCAGUGAAUCAUCGAAUCUUUGAACGCACCUUGCGCCCUUUGGCUAUUCUGAAGGGCAUGCCUGUUUGAGUAUCGUGAACACCUCAACUCUCAUGGUCUGCCAUGAUGAGCUUGGACUUUGGGGGUCUUGCUGGCCUACUGUCAGCUCCUCUCAAAUGAAUCAGCUUACCAGUGUUUGGUGGCACCACAGGUGUGAUAACUAUCUACGCUUGUGGUUUUAUGCCAGGUAACCUCCAGUGAUGGAGGUUCGCUGGAGCUCACAAAUGUCUCUCCUCAGCGAGGACAGCUUUUUGAACGUUUGAUCUCAAAUCAGGUAGGACUACCCGCUGAACUUAAGCAUAUCAAUAAGCGGAGGA
rnacentral:misc_RNA from 1 species